rnacentral:rRNA from 1 species
UACGUAGGUCCCGAGCGUUAUCCGGAAUUACUGGGCGUAAAGAGUUCGUAGGCGGAACGCUAAGUUCGGUAUGAAAGACCGGGGCUCAACCCCGCGUUUGUGCCGGAUACUGGCGAUCUGGAAUCAGGGAGAGGUUGGCAGAAUGGUACGAGUAGGGGUGCAAUCCGUUGAUACGUACCGGAAUACCAAAAGCGAAGGCAGCCAACUGGAACUGUAUUGACGCUGAGGAACGAAAGCGUGGGGAGCGAAAAGG